GCCGUUGCGCCCCUGCGGCCGUGCGGAGCGUUCGGCGGAGCGGUGCGGCGCGACUAACAGCGCCGAGCGGGAGGAAACGCCCCUGCAAAGAACUGAGAUGCACUGCACGGUAAAAUACCGUUCACGCUGCAGAGCAGCAGAUAAAGAGAUCCCUCUGUUCUAACUUUGUACGCUGGGAGCAGCAGGGAUUGAGCCAGAAGGAACAAAUAUUCCCUGCAGCACUGCCGUCAGGCUGUCCCAGACACUGACCCGAACUUCCCACACCACCGGGAUGGUGCUCGGUGAGUGACACCUAUGGAGCCCCUCACCUACCACCCGGAUAGUGAGGGAACCAAAUUCCAUCACAUCGGCCUUAGGGACAUCUCUAGGAAAAGCUGGUUCGUGCAGAAGCUUGGGGAGAUGCACUGGUUGCAGGCAGUACACCAGGUGCAGCGUGCCACAGCCACAGCAUCACAACUCGGAGCACUCCCUGAUUUCCCAGCACCGAGCUGGUGGGAAAAAUGAAUAGACCUCAAACUGAAAGAUAGAUACAGGUGUAAGAUAGACUCAGCUAAUUGAAAAGCUAUCUGCUCUGACAGACUGGUUUAAACUAAUUACACGAUGUAGUGCAUGCUGCCACCUACGCCUUAUGAAUCAGGUUUCUUGCACUGCAGCUCAGCAUCCGCGCGCAUCCCUGUGAGACUCCACGGGGGACCGCAAACCCUGGCAGCCACGGCCGGGCUGGGGAACGAGGCAGAGCAUUUCCCACCUGCUCACUGCAGUGAGGAUGCCUCGAUGCCAAUGAGGAAGCGGCAGCAAAAUGUGAGUAGUGGCUGGAGCCUCAUCUGUACCGCAGCUCCUGCCAGCACAGCUGUACCACUGACAGCAGCGGAACAUUUUGCUCAAGCUCUCUAGAGGAAUCAAAGCCUGUAUUUUCUGUCUCUGGCUGUCUCUUGUUCUGUUGUUCCUCGUUCUUUAGAAAAAAAAUAAAUAAAUCAGCCACACGCA